rnacentral:rRNA from 1 species
GCCCUACGGGUGGCAGCAGUGGGGAAUAUUGGACAAUGGGCGCAAGCCUGAUCCAGCCAUGCCGCGUGAGUGAUGAAGGCCUUAGGGUUGUAAAGCUCUUUCAGUAGGGAAGAUAAUGACGGUACCUACAGAAGAAGCCCCGGCUAACUUCGUGCCAGCAGCCGCGGUAAUACGAAGGGGGCUAGCGUUGUUCGGAUUUACUGGGCGUAAAGCGCACGUAGGCGGAUUGUUAAGUUAGGGGUGAAAUCCCAGGGCUCAACCCUGGAACUGCCUUUAAUACUGGCAAUCUAGAGUCCGGAAGAGGUGAGUGGAACUCCUAGUGUAGAGGUGGAAUUCGUAGAUAUUAGGAAGAACACCAGUGGCGAAGGCGGCUCACUGGUCCGGUACUGACGCUGAGGUGCGAAAGCGUGGGGAGCAAACAGGAUUAGAUACCCGUGUAGUC